UAAGAAAGACGAAGAUAUAAAUUUAAAACAAAAAUAUAUGCCUUUCCAUUUCAUAAAAAGUUUACACCAGUUCACCAAAAUAAGCAUGUCCAAUUCCAUAAAUAUCUAACAUUUGAUUUUGAUGCUUAGAGCACCAUUCAUGCCAGAAACAUUUUUCCUCACAAAGAAGAUUUAAUUAACAAAUAACAUUUCUUCAAAAAAAUAAUUUUCUCUACCUAUUUCAGGGAAACUUCAAUUUUCAAAAAUAAAUGUCAUUUUCUGAAAUGCUCAAAUUCAUAGAGAGAGGACUUCAUAUAAGAUUCUCAAAGAAAUAAUCCAACACUCCAUCAAUCACCACUACAAAAUGCUAUUGGCUGACAUUAAUUAUUUUUGAUAGCUUGUGCUAGCUGGAAUUCACCAUUUCUUGUGUAGUUUCUCUCUAAUUCAAAUAGAUUAAAACCAAAAAUAGAGUCCUUCUAAAUCCAAAAUUCUCAUAGUACUCCUCGUUGAAGAAAGAAAUUUUUAAUUUUUGGAAACAGAAAGAAUAUUCAUUCUAGUCUAAUUCAAAUGCCAGAAAUUAAUUUACAGUUGGUUUUCAUUAUUACAAACAAAUAAUAGAAAAUUAUUCAGUUCUUUAUAAAUGUUAUCCAAAGAAAAUAUUUUCUAGGACAUUAUUUCUCCUAAACAACCAACAUUUAAAAAAAACAAAUAUGUAUAUAUUAUGUACUUGCAGCCCAAAUCUCAAUUUACUUGAUAGAAACAAAAACCCGGAUAGGUACCUUCUUUAUGUCCUUCAGAAAGUUAGUGGAAGCCCUCUAACCGAAGAUCUAAUAACAGAGUUAUCUCUAAUCCAUUUCGCACAAGCCUCUUAUAGAUGGUAGUAUGGUACAGCAUAAAAAAAGAUAAAUAGGGGACACUUUUAUGAGAUAUUAAUAUAUAAAUCCAUCUUGAUAGCAGAUUAAUGCUUGUUUUAUAGGAAACUAUUUGGGAAUCUGACAGAUGAACCUGUUAAUACUUGGCAAAUGCCUACACAAAAGCUCAUUGGUGAACUUUUUCCAAAAGCUUAGAGUUGGGACUGGGGAAGUAGAUGAAUGCUAGUAAUAGAGGCAGCUGAAAAUUUAACCCACAAGAAACCAAAUGUCAAGCAACUUGAGAAUUGAGGCAAUCAAAGUCAAAGAAAAGUGCUCCUUUUAGGCUUCAUGCAGGUGACUGCUGAAUGCCUUCCAACAACAUAAACUGAAAAAAAAAAAAAAGAAUUCCGAGAUUCUUGCAUGCACAAUCAUACUCAAAUCAACUAAGCUUUUAUCUCAAAAA
rnacentral:misc_RNA from 1 species